CUGGUCAAUUUUCUAUUGUUUGAAAUAUACCUGCGGUGACAUGACCCACGUCAUAUGUCGUAUGUUGGGAGGACGAAAACUAUUUUGAAUUCGGAACAACGUUCGAAGAUGUAUCGACCCUAUCCGAUUUAAAGCAUUAAAGGAUUACACAACGGAAAUUUUCGGCCUGAAGCCAAAUACUGUUGAGUGGUUAACUUUUGAAAAGAAGCUUCACAAUAUUCCUGGGGAUGCCAGAAAGAAGAUGAAUCGUCUCACAGGUCUGGCUGGAAAUUCUACGAUCAUGUCGCCGGAAUUCAGUUGUUCGAAUUCCGAUGAUUCAGAAACGAGAGUUGAGGAGUAUCUCAACUUGGUAGGGGAGAAUUAAGAAUAGUAUAAAAUUUAUUAAUUGGAUUCUUGUAUAAAUAAAUACAUUGAAUUUUUAAUAGUCG